rnacentral:rRNA from 1 species
GACGAACGCUGGCGGCGUGCUUAACACAUGCAAGUCGAACGGAAAGGCCCUGCUUUUGUGGGGUUCUCGAGUGGCGAACGGGUGAGUAACACGUGAGUAACCUGCCCUUUACUUUGGGAUAACUUCAGGAAACUGGGGCUAAUACCGGAUAGGAGCUCCUGCUGCAUGGUGGGGGUUGGAAAGUUUCGGCGGUUGGGGAUGGACUCGCGGCUUAUCAGCUUGUUGGUGGGGUAGUGGCUUACCAAGGCUUUGACGGGUAGCCGGCCUGAGAGGGUGACCGGCCACAUUGGGACUGAGAUACGGCCCAGACUCCUACGGGAGGCAGCAGUGGGGAAUAUUGCACAAUGGGCGGAAGCCUGAUGCAGCAACGCCGCGUGCGGGAUGACGGCCUUCGGGUUGUAAACCGCUUUCGCCUGUGACGAAGCGUGAGUGACGGUAAUGGGUAAAGAAGCACCGGCUAACUACGUG